rnacentral:rRNA from 1 species
AGUUCGAUUCUGGCUCAGAUUGAACGCUGGUGGGAUGUUUAACAUGCAAGUCGAACGGCAGCACGGACUUUACCUGGUAAAGUGAGCGGCGAACGGGUGAGUAAUGUAUCGGAACGUGCCUAGUAGCGGGGGAUAACUACGCGAAAGCGUAGCUAAUACCGCAUACGCCCUUCGGGGAAAGCGGGGACCUUCGGGCCUCGCACUAUUAGAGCGGCCGAUAUCGGAUUAGCUAGUUGGCGGGUAACGGCUCACCAAGGCGACGAUCCGUAGCUGGUUUGAGAGGACGACCAGCCACACUGGGACUGAGACACGGCCCAGACUCCUACGGGAGGCAGGGGGGAAUUUUAAGCAAUGGGGAAACCCCGAUCCAGCCAUCCCGCGUGUGAUGAAGGCUCUCGGGUUGUAAAGCACCCUUGGCAGGGAAGAAACGGCACGGGAUACCCCGUGCAACUGACGGUACCUUGCAGAAUAAGCACCGGCUAACUACGUGCCAGCAGCCGCGGUAAUACGUAGGGCAAGCGUUAAUCGGAAUUACCGGGCGUAAAAGUGCGCAGAAGGUUGCCCGGAAAGAAAGAUGUGAAAUCCCAGAGCUUAACUUUGGAACUGCAUUUUUAACUACCGAGCUAGAGUGUGUCAGAGGGAGGUGAAUUUAUGUAGCGCAGUGAAAUGCGUAGAUAUGCGGAGGAACACCGAUGGCGAAGGCAGCCUCCUGGGAUAACACUGACGCUCAUGCACGAAAAAGCGUGGGGAGCAAACAGGAUUAGAUACCCUGGUAGUCCACGCCCUAAACGAUGUCAACUAGCUGUUGGGGCCUUCGGCCUUGGUAGCGCAGCUAACGCGUGAAGUUGACCGCCUGGGAGUACGGUCGCAAGAUUAAAACUCAAAGGAAUUGACGGGGACCUGCACAAGCGGUGGAUGAUGUGGAUUAAUUCGAUGCAACGCGAAAAACCUUACCUACCCUUGACAUGUCUGGAAUCCCGAAGAGAUUUGGGAGUGCUCGCAAGGAGGACCGGAACACAGGUGCCGCAUGGCUGCUCGCCGCUCAAGCCGUGAGAUGUUGGGUUAAGUCCCGCAACGAGCGCAACCCUUGUCAUUAGUUGCUACGAAAGGGCACUCUAAUGAGACUGCCGGUGACAAACCGGAGGAAGGUGGGGAUGACGUCAGUCCUCAUGGCCCUUAUGGGUAGGGCUUCACACGUCAUACAAUGGUCGGGACAGAGGGUCGCCAACCUGCGAGGGGGAGCCAAUCCUGAAACCCGAUCGUAGUCCGGAUCGCAGUCUGCAACUCGACUGCGUGAAGUCGGAAUCGCUAGUAAUCGCGGAUCAGCAUGUCGCGGUGAACACGUUCCCGGGUCUUGUACACACCGCCCGUCACACCAUGGGGAGUGGGUUUUACUUAGUAGGGGGCGCAGUUAGCCUAACCGUAAGGAGGGCGAUUACCACGGUAGGAUUCAUGACUGGGGUGAAGUCGUAACAAGGUAG